UGGGGAAUAUUGGACAAUGGGAGCAACCCUGAUCCAGCCAUGCCGCGUGUGUGAAGAAGGCCCUCGGGUUGUAAAGCACUUUCAGCGAGGAAGAACGCCUAGCGGUUAAUACCCGCUAGGAAAGACAUCACUCGCAGAAGAAGCACCGGCUAACUCCGUGCCAGCAGCCGCGGUAAUACGGAGGGUGCAAGCGUUAAUCGGAAUUACUGGGCGUAAAGCGCGCGUAGGUGGCUUGAUAAGCCGGUUGUGAAAGCCCCGGGCUCAACCUGGGAACGGCAUCCGGAACUGUCAAGCUAGAGUGCAGGAGAGGAAGGUAGAAUUCCCGGUGUAGCGGUGAAAUGCGUAGAGAUCGGGAGGAAUACCAGUGGCGAAGGCGGCCUUCUGGACUGACACUGACACUGAGGUGCGAAAGCGUGGGUAGCAAACAGGAUUAGAUACCCAAGUAGUCCCUGAGCGGGCUGGCAAGGCGCAU
rnacentral:rRNA from 1 species